AGAUUAGAGUUUGAUCCUGGCUCAGGACGAACGCUGGCGGCGGGCUUAACACAUGCAAGUCGAAGGAGAAGGUAGAAGCUUGCUUUUACUGGAGACUGGCGGACGGGUGAGUAACGCGUAGAUAACCUGCCUAUAGCUGGGGGAUAACACUGCGAAAGUGGUGCUAAUACCGCAUAAUGCAGCGGGGCCGCAUGGCCAUAGUUGUUAAAGGUUUCGACCGGCUAUAGAUGGGUCUGCGUGCUAUUAGUUAGUUGGUAGGGUAACGGCCUACCAAGGCGAUGAUAGCUAGGGGGUCUGAGAGGAUGAUCCCCCACACUGGGACUGAGACACGGCCCAGACUCCUACGGGAGGCAGCAGUGAGGAAUCUUGCGCAAUGGGCGAAAGCCUGACGCAGCCACGCCGCGUGCCGGAUGAAGGCCCUAUGGGUUGUAAACGGCUUUUACUAGGGAAGAACGAGAGGGUUUCGAUCUUCUGUGACGGUACCUAGUGAAUAAGCACCGGCUAACUCCGUGCCAGCAGCCGCGGUAAUACGGAGGGUGCAAGCGUUGUCCGGAAUCAUUGGGUGUAAAGGGUACGUAGGCGGGAGCCUAAGUCUGGGGUGAAAUCUUGCCGCUUAACGGUAAAAUGGCCCUGGAUACUGGGUUUCUUGAGUGCAGAAGAGGCAGGUGGAAUUCGUGGUGUAGCGGUGAAAU
rnacentral:rRNA from 1 species